AGGGGCUCUUUCUCUUUGCUGUACCCUGGACAUUUCAGUGUUGUGAGCUUGAGCUUUCUUUAGACAGUUAGUUCAAAGAUGCUCUCACUAAAGUGUCCAUUGCCCUCUGGAAUUGCGUCCAGGAAACCUCUGCUCCCAUGGGGACCUCAGAUAUUCUACAAUGUAUGAAAUCUGGGCAUACUUUUAUAAGGCUUUGGGCUAAAUACUGGGUCUGGAAGCUAUGAGAUGUAAGGAGUUGAUCCACAACUCCUCUUCAUUCCUUCAGCUUGUCAAGUAAUUUCUGCCUGUAAUUAAGAAGAAAUGAAAAAUCCCGCUCUUCGGGAUUUGCUGAAAUUUGUGACAGCUGCUCUGAAAGUAAUGCCUUCUGUUUAAUUAUUUUUGGUCCAUGAAGUCGGAGGCGGAUGUUGGUGGGAUGG